rnacentral:rRNA from 1 species
UACAGAGGGUGCAAGCGUUGUUCGGAAUUAUUGGGCGUAAAGAGCUCGUAGGCGGUUUGUCGCGUCUGCCGUGAAAGUCCGGGGCUCAACUCCGGAUCUGCGGUGGGUACGGGCAGACUAGAGUGAUGUAGGGGAGACUGGAAUUCCUGGUGUAGCGGUGAAAUGCGCAGAUAUCAGGAGGAACACCGAUGGCGAAGGCAGGUCUCUGGGCCACUACUGACGCUGAGAAGCGAAAGCAUGGGGAGCGAACAGG